UACUGACGCUGAGGUACGAAAGCAUGGGGAGCAAACAGGAUUAGAUACCCUGGUAGUCCAUGCCGUAAACGAUGUCUACUAGCCGUUGGGGCCUUUGAGGCUUUAGUGGCGCAGCUAACGCGAUAAGUAGACCGCCUGGGGAGUACGGUCGCAAGACUAAAACUCAAAUGAAUUGACGGGGGCCCGCACAAGCGGUGGAGCAUGUGGUUUAAUUCGACGCAACGCGAAGAACCUUACCUGGCCUUGACAUACUAGAAACUUUCCAGAGAUGGAUUGGUGCCUUCGGGAAUCUAGAUACAGGUGCUGCAUGGCUGUCGUCAGCUCGUGUCGUGAGAUGUUGGGUUAAGUCCCGCAACGAGCGCAACCCUUUUCCUUACUUGCCAGCAUUUCGGAUGGGAACUUUAAGGAUACUGCCAGUGACAAACUGGAGGAAGGCGGGGACGACGUCAAGUCAUCAUGGCCCUUACGGCCAGGGCUACACACGUGCUACAAUGGUCGGUACAAAGGGUUGCUACACAGCGAUGUGAUGCUAAUCUCAAAAAGCCGAUCGUAGUCCGGAUUGGAGUCUGCAACUCGACUCCAUGAGGUCGGAAUCGCUAGUAAUCGCGGAUCAGAAUGCCGCGGUGAAUACGUUCCCGGGCCUUGUACACACCGCCCGUCACACCAUGGGAGUUUGUUGCACCAGAAGUAGCUAGCCUAACUGCAAAGAGGGCGGUUACCACGGUGUGGCCGAUGACUGGGGUG
rnacentral:rRNA from 1 species